CUCUUUCCCAGAGAUUGGCUGCCAGGACAGCUCCUCAGAGAAGGCCAUGGCCCCAACAAGUAGGAAAGAGUCUGUACCUUCAGGCAAGGCCCUGAAGAUGUGUGCAAAUGGUCUCCAUAGGAAUGAACUUCAGCUAAAGACAUUGGCUAAAUCAGCAUGAAUUACAAUGAGAAGCCAGGAUUUCUAAAAUCUUAAUAGGCAUAUUUAGCUACCUCUUAUUAUCUACUUCCUCUUAUUCAGAGCAAAUGAUCACAGAUAAAUCACAGAUCUACACAUUUUGCACAUGAUGUAAAAAUUGUGGAAAUAAUUGAACAGGAAUAUGAGGAGCAUAUAGACAAAUUUUAAUUGCUUGUCUUAUUGCUCCUGCCUGCUGCUAAGUUUGAACCCUUGAAUCCUCUGUUCUUCUAAUCAAUACAGGAAUACAAAAUGUGCCUUUUGUUUAGGAAGUCACUAGUACAUCAGCUUCAACUGAAGUAAGCAGAAAUGAAAAGCUUAUGUUUUCCUGCAAAAGUGAGUGACCAGCAGUAAAUUCUGGGUAAUGAAAGGGGUUUGUUUCAUGAGAGAUCUCAGGCAGAGCUAACCACAAGUAUGUGUCAUUCUUUAUUUAUGGCGAAGUUGAGAGAGGAAAGCCAGUCUGCCUUUAACAUUUCAAAGCUAAAAGUCACACUCAAAAUAUCUUCAAGUUAUUAGUAAAAUUAAUGUCCUUACACCUGCUAUAAUUCUCCAAAUAUAUAAAUACCCUGCUCUGAAUAUGUACCUCAAAUAUAUAGUUCUUGCCAUCACUAAUGUAAUCCAAAUAAUUUGGUACUUUUAAAACAACUCAUUGAGAGUCUUUCUAAUUGAUUGGUAAACAGGUUUAUGCUGGGAUGGUAUUAUCAUUUAAUGGCCUUAAAAAGCAUAAAACUACUGAAUUAUUGAACCUAAUUUAAAUUCUACUCAGAGGCAGAAAACCCACAACAAAUCUGUUCUUGCUCAAAAUAAUUUUUUGUUGUUAAUUUGCAGUUUAAAUGUUGAAAGAAUUUUCUGAAACCUGAUUUUAUUUAUUUUGAUGAUAUAUCAGGCUUAUAAGAUACUGCAUAUUUUUAUAAUGGGAAAUGUCAUUUAUUUCUUGAGCUGCAAUUAAUAGUAUACUUUUUAUUUCUUGUAUUGCGAUAAUUUUCAUUGUUUUCACCCUAACAAUUUAGCUAUUAUAAUUCAAAAUAGUAGUGUUGAAAGACAAAUAAGCAAAUGAGCUUUUUAUAAAUAAAUAAUCUUGGGCUUAUUUGUAUUUUUCA
rnacentral:lncRNA from 1 species